AAAUUGAAGAGUUUGAUCAUGGCUCAGAUUGAACGCUGGCGGCAGGCUUAACACAUGCAAGUCGAACGGUAACAGGAAUCAGCUUGCUGAUUCGCUGACGAGUGGCGGACGGGUGAGUAAUGUCUGGGAAACUGCCUGAUGGAGGGGGAUAACUACUGGAAACGGUAGCUAAUACCGCAUAAUGUCGCAAGACCAAAGAGGGGGACCUUCGGGCCUCUUGCCAUCGGAUGUGCCCAGAUGGGAUUAGCUAGUAGGUGGGGUAACGGCUCACCUAGGCGACGAUCCCUAGCUGGUCUGAGAGGAUGACCAGCCACACUGGAACUGAGACACGGUCCAGACUCCUACGGGAGGCAGCAGUGGGGAAUAUUGCACAAUGGGCGCAAGCCUGAUGCAGCCAUGCCGCGUGUAUGAAGAAGGCCUUCGGGUUGUAAAGUACUUUCAGCGGGGAGGAAGGGAGUAAAGUUAAUACCUUUGCUCAUUGACGUUACCCGCAGAAGAAGCACCGGCUAACUCCGUGCCAGCAGCCGCGGUAAUACGGAGGGUGCAAGCGUUAAUCGGAAUUACUGGGCGUAAAGCGCACGCAGGCGGUUUGUUAAGUCAGAUGUGAAAUCCCCGGGCUCAACCUGGGAACUGCAUCUGAUACUGGCAAGCUUGAGUCUCGUAGAGGGGGGUAGAAUUCCAGGUGUAGCGGUGAAAUGCGUAGAGAUCUGGAGGAAUACCGGUGGCGAAGGCGGCCCCCUGGACGAAGACUGACGCUCAGGUGCGAAAGCGUGGGGAGCAAACAGGAUUAGAUACCCUGGUAGUCCACGCCGUAAACGAUGUCGACUUGGAGGUUGUGCCCUUGAGGCGUGGCUUCCGGAGCUAACGCGUUAAGUCGACCGCCUGGGGAGUACGGCCGCAAGGUUAAAACUCAAAUGAAUUGACGGGGGCCCGCACAAGCGGUGGAGCAUGUGGUUUAAUUCGAUGCAACGCGAAGAACCUUACCUGGUCUUGACAUCCACGGAAGUUUUCAGAGAUGAGAAUGUGCCUUCGGGAACCGUGAGACAGGUGCUGCAUGGCUGUCGUCAGCUCGUGUUGUGAAAUGUUGGGUUAAGUCCCGCAACGAGCGCAACCCUUAUCCUUUGUUGCCAGCGGUCCGGCCGGGAACUCAAAGGAGACUGCCAGUGAUAAACUGGAGGAAGGUGGGGAUGACGUCAAGUCAUCAUGGCCCUUACGACCAGGGCUACACACGUGCUACAAUGGCGCAUACAAAGAGAAGCGACCUCGCGAGAGCAAGCGGACCUCAUAAAGUGCGUCGUAGUCCGGAUUGGAGUCUGCAACUCGACUCCAUGAAGUCGGAAUCGCUAGUAAUCGUGGAUCAGAAUGCCACGGUGAAUACGUUCCCGGGCCUUGUACACACCGCCCGUCACACCAUGGGAGUGGGUUGCAAAAGAAGUAGGUAGCUUAACCUUCGGGAGGGCGCUUACCACUUUGUGAUUCAUGACUGGGGUGAAGUCGUAACAAGGUAACCGUAGGGGAACCUGCGGUUGGAUCACCUCCUUACCUUAAAGAAGC
rnacentral:rRNA from 1 species